GUCGAGAUGUCUGCGAGAAAGUCUGGACCAUACAAGUUUAAGGCGAUUAAGUCUCAAGCAGGUGACCCCCAACGAAAUUCAUCUGUACAGUAUUUCUUCAGUCUCCCUGUGGUUCCACAAAUCACAGUUCCAAGGCCCGUGGCUGCCACUCGCUCCUCGUUGCCUGCCAGUCUCCCAGGAAGACAGGAGCGGCCUGCUACCUCCACACCAUGUGCGCCCCAACUGAGCCAACGCCCUUCACAGCCUCUGGAUGGUUGUGAUGAUGAUAUUGAUGACUUUGAUCUCAACAGUAGCUUUGUCACUGAGCCAGUCCGUCGGGCGGCGAAGACGGUGGCGGCGGACGCCCUCGCUGCCGACCGGCCGGUCCGCGCCGCCGACGGCCACCAGCUGGCGUCGGCGGCCGGGGAGGGCCCUGGCUCGGGACCGAAGGGCAGCGGGGACAGUGACUGCG